rnacentral:rRNA from 1 species
AACGUAGGAGACAAACGUUAUCCGGAGUUACUGGGCGUAAAGGGCGCGUAGGCGGCCAUUCAAGUCAGAGGUGAAAGCCCAAGGCUCAACCUUGGAACUGCCUUUGAUACUGUUUGGCUUGAGACCGGUAGAGGUAAGUGGAACUGCGAGUGUAGAGGUGAAAUUCGUAGAUAUUCGCAAGAACACCAGUGGCGAAGGCGGCUUACUGGACCGGUUCUGACGCUGAGGCGCGAAAGCGUGGGGAGCAAACAGG